rnacentral:rRNA from 1 species
GUAGGGAAUCUUCGGCAAUGGACGAAAGUCUGACCGAGCAACGCCGCGUGAGUGAAGAAGGUUUUCGGAUCGUAAAACUCUGUUGUUAGAGAAGAAUGUUGAUUAGAGUGGAAAAUUAAUCAAGUGACGGUAUCUAACCAGAAAGGGACGGCUAACUACGUGCCAGCAGCCGCGGUAAUACGUAGGUCCCGAGCGUUGUCCGGAUUUAUUGGGCGUAAAGCGAGCGCAGGGGGUUUAAUAAGUCUGAUGUAAAAGGCAGUGGCUCAACCAUUGUGUGCAUUGGAAACUGUUAGACUUGAGUGCAGUAGAGGAGAGUGGAAUUCCAUGUGUAGCGGUGAAAUGCGUAGAUAUAUGGAGGAACACCGGUGGCGAAAGCGGCUCUCUGGACUGUCACUGACACUGAGGCUCGAAAGCGUGGGUAGCAAACAGGAUUAGAAACCCUAGUAGUCC